rnacentral:rRNA from 1 species
UUUGAAAUCUGGCUCUCGGGCCCGAGUUGUAAUUUGGAGAGGAUGCUUUUGGCGCGGCGCCUUCCGAGUUCCUUGGAACAGGACGCCAUAGAGGGUGAGAGCCCCGUACGGUCGGACGCCUAGCCUAUACAAAGCUCCUUCGACGAGUCGAGUAGUUUGGGAAUGCUGCUCAAAAUGGGAGGUAAAUUUCUUCUAAAGCUAAAUACCGGCCAGAGACCGAUAGCGCACAAGUAGAGUGAUCGAAAGAUGAAAAGCACUUUGAAAAGAGAGUUAAACAGUACGUGAAAUUGUUGAAAGGGAAGCGCCUGUGACCAGACUUGUGCCCCGCGAACCACCCGGCGUUCUCGCCGGUGCACUCCGCGGGGCGCAGGCCAGCAUCGGUUCUCCUAGGGGGAUAAAGGCCGCUGGAACGUAGCUCUUUCGGGAGUGUUAUAGCCUGCGGUGCCAUGCCUCUGGGGGGACCGAGGACCGCGCUUCGGCAAGGAUGCUGGCGUAAUGGUCACCAGCGACCCGUCUUGAAACACGGACCAAGGAGUCAAGCAUUGGGGCGAGUGUUUGGGUGCCAAACCCGCACGCGAAAUGAAAGUAAACGUAGGUGAGAGCUUCGGCGCAUCACCGACCGAUCCUGAUGUAUUCGGAUGGAUUUGAGUAAGAGCCUUACCGCUUGGACCCGAAAGAUGGUGAACUAUGCCUGUAUAGGGUGAAGCCAGAGGAAACUCUGGUGGAGGCUCGCAGCGGUUCUGACGUGCAAAUCGAUCGUCAAAUAUGGGCAUGGGGGCGAAAGACUAAUCGAACCAUCUA